AAAACGGUCCUUUUCAGGACCACCAAAUCAUUUUCCAUAAGAACUCU
rfam:Anopheles gambiae M scf_1925491363 genomic scaffold, whole genome shotgun sequence.